rnacentral:rRNA from 1 species
GACAGAGGCCUCAAGCGUUAGGCGGAAUCACUGGGCUUAAAGCGUGUGUAGGCGGAUCGUUAAGUGCCUUGUGAAAUCCCACGGCUUAACUGUGGAACGGCUGGGCAUACUGGCGGUCUUGAGCCAUCUAGGGGCGACUGGAACAAACGGUGGAGCGGUGAAAUGCGUAGAUAUCGGUUUGGAACGCCAAUGGUGAAAACAGGUCGCUGGGGAUGAGCUGACGC